AUUCAGCUGAAAAGCCCUAAAUAGGACGAAACGUGCAUCCUGAAU
rnacentral:hammerhead_ribozyme from 1 species